rnacentral:rRNA from 1 species
UACAGAGGGGGCGAGCGUUGUUCGGAAUUACUGGGCGUAAAGGGCGCGUAGGCGGCCUGCUAAGUCGAACGUGAAAUCCCCGGGCUCAACCCGGGAACUGCGUCCGAUACUGGAUGGCUUGAAUCCGGGAGAGGGAUGCGGAAUUCCAGGUGUAGCGGUGAAAUGCGUAGAUAUCUGGAGGAACACCGGUGGCGAAGGCGGCAUCCUGGACCGGCAUUGACGCUGAGGAGCGAAAGCCAGGGGAGCAAACGGG